GAUGAGCGCUGGCGGCGUGCCUAAUACAUGCAAGUCGAGCGAACGGACGAGAAGCUUGCUUCUCUGAUGUUAGCGGCGGACGGGUGAGUAACACGUGGAUAACCUACCUAUAAGACUGGGAUAACUUCGGGAAACCGGAGCUAAUACCGGAUAAUAUUUUGAACCGCAUGGUUCAAAAGUGAAAGACGGUCUUGCUGUCACUUAUAGAUGGAUCCGCGCUGCAUUAGCUAGUUGGUAAGGUAACGGCUUACCAAGGCAACGAUGCAUAGCCGACCUGAGAGGGUGAUCGGCCACACUGGAACUGAGACACGGUCCAGACUCCUACGGGAGGCAGCAGUAGGGAAUCUUCCGCAAUGGGCGAAAGCCUGACGGAGCAACGCCGCGUGAGUGAUGAGGGUCUUCGGAUCGUAAAACUCUGUUAUUAGGGAAGAACAUAUGUGUAAGUAACUGUGCACAUCUUGACGGUACCUAAUCAGAAAGCCACGGCUAACUACGUG
rnacentral:rRNA from 1 species